UCGAGUUGACAGAGACCAAGCAGCACAGAGCCCAUCUAGAAAUACAGAAACAGCUCCCUGGGUUCAAAUGAGUGAAUCACAGGUGGGUGGUGUUUUCCCAAGUGGUGGGAAAGCUGAGCCACCAACCAGGGUCAGUGAGGGAAACUAGGAAUUAGCACCAGUGAGGAGCUGGUGACACCCUGAGGCUAAAAGGGCAACUGAAGGAAGUGACCAGAGCCCAGAAGCCAUGGUCACCCUGCUGAGCUGGACUUCAGCGGCCUUGUGUAGCAGGAAGUGGAGUCACCCAGCUGAUCUUCAUCUUGAAGACGCCACAAAAGCCAGAGGAACGAGAGCGGCCUCUGACCCCUGUCUCUGCGGACUCUUCAGUGCCUCUCUCUGCUAAAACAGCUGAAAGCUGGCAGACUGUGAACCUGAAGGGGUUCCCAGCAGCCCACCUGUCACCACUACCUCACUCUCUAUACUUCUCUCCCCUGGCAACUGAGGGAGCCAGGAAGAGGGGCAAAGGAACUGCUCCCUCUCCCCCUCCCUCAGGCAGGCAGCCUCCUGCUUCCUUAGCGCUGGUUCUGAGUUUGGUAGAAUGCUGAUUCCACCCGCUGUGGCCUCUCUGUUUCCUAUUCUGCUUUCCUCACCAGAGUGCAUGGUUUCAGAGCAGCGAACCGUGAAUGGCCUCGUUCAUUUUGGUGUCUUCAGUAACUGCAGAAGGAAAUACCACUGAACCCGACAACUGAAAUUGAUUGUCUCUGCGGUGCUCCCUACAGGAUGAAAACUAGAUUUUCUGUCAACGUUGUCCGUGAGGGCAAGUGGGUAUGCGCCACAGCGUAUGUGCGGGAGUCGGAGGACAAGCCCGGGGAAGACUGCCGCUGUCAGCGUGGGGCAGCUUUCUUCGCAGUGGUCAGCAGAGAGAGACUCAUGAGCACUGAGAAUAAGGCCCAUCCAUAAACGGAGCGUCCGUACCACACCGUUCAAAGCUCACGAAACCCUGCGGGAGUGGAAAGAAUGUAAGAACUGGAGGAAAUGGGGAGUGGUGAGGAAUGCUGACUUCCGGGCGUGAGGUGUGAUGGCGAAUCUUGGUUGUCAACAUGACUGGAUCUGGAAUGAACUAAAAGGCAAACUGCUAGGCUCACCUGUAACAAAUUAUCUUUUUCUCUUCCUUUUCUCUUCCUUCCUUCCUUCGUUCCCUUCUUUCUCUCUUUCUUCUUUCUUCCUUCCUUCUCUCCUUAUCUUUUUACUUUCUCUCCUCUUCCUCCUCACCUUUCUUCUCCUUUGUAACAGAUUUUCUUGAUCAGAUCAUUGACAUGAAAAAAAUCCACCCUAAGCAUGGGUGGCACUUUUUGUGGCAGCCUAGACGAAACGAUAUGGAAAAAAGAAAUUUUGCCUUCUGCUUGCUGGUAAUUCUUCUAUCUUACUGCUGUGGCAUUCCUUCACUGACAUUAGAAGCAACCCCUUAGGGCUUCCACCAUAAAAAGCAACAGCUCUCCAGGAUUCCUCAGGCCUUCAGCACUGGAUUGAGACCUCAGAGACACCCAGAGAACCCUGACUAAUACAACACGGCUCUAGCACUCUCAAACCCAUGGCAGCUGUGAUUCCUCACACAAGACUGGGCCCGUCAACACCCUGUCUGCCAUGGAAAGGGGGCGGGCCUCACAGGACUCCACGCCUUUCUGAGGAUUUUCAUACACAAUUGAUGGUUGAUAUGGGAGGGGCGUUUUCCUCAGUUGUGGGGCCACAGAUAAGGUGUCCCUGAUCCUGUCAACAAACUCCUCCAGGGAGUCCUGUAACCAGCCUUAAGGAAACUCGUGGGGCCACCAAAAUUUUAUUUUAUUUAUUAUUUAUUACUCAGUGUGUAUGUGUGUGUGUGUGUGUGUGUGUGUGUGUGUGUGUGUGUGUGUACAUGCAAUGUGUAUGUAUACGUGGGCAUGUUCAUGCCACUCCACUCUUACGGAGGUAAGAAGACCACUCUGGAGAAUCAGAUCUCUCCUUCCACCAGGGAUGAAACUCAGAGCAUCAGGCUUGCUCUUCCACCCACGGAGCUACCUUCCUGCCCCA